CAUUGGUAUGAGCUUUUGUGUGCAUGCACACUUCUUCAGAUACACAAAAAAUGCAUGCACACAAAAGCUCAUACCAAUA